rnacentral:tRNA from 7 species
CGCGGGAUGGAGCAGUUUGGUAGCUCGUCGGGCUCAUAACCCGGAGGUCGUAGGUUCAAAUCCUGCUCCCGCAACCA